CCUACGGGUUGCAGCAGUAGGGAAUAUUAGAAAUGGACGAAAGUCUGAUCUAGCAACACCGCGUGUGCGAAGAAGGCCUUCGGGUCGUAAAGCACUUUUUGGAAGGAAUAGGAAGGAAUGUACUUCCAGAAUAAGUCUCGGCUAACUACGUGCCAGCAGCCGCGGUAACACGUAGGAGGCGAACGUUAUCCGGAUUUACUGGGCGUAAAGCGCGUGUAGGUGGUACUGUAAGUAGGGCGUGAAAGCUCCUGGCUCAACUGGGAGAGGCCGUUCUAAACUACAGAACUAGAGGAUGGUAGAGGGAGGUGGAAUUCCAGGUGUAGCGGUGGAAUGCGCAGAUAUCUGGAGGAACACCGGUGGCGAAGGCGGCCUCCUGGACCAUUCCUGACACUCAGACGCGAAAGCUAGGGUAGCAAACGGGAUUAGAUACCCUAGUAGUC
rnacentral:rRNA from 1 species